UACGAAGGGGGCUAGCGUUGCUCGGAAUCACUGGGCGUAAAGGGUGCGUAGGCGGGUCUUUAAGUCAGGGGUGAAAUCCUGGAGCUCAACUCCAGAACUGCCUUUGAUACUGAGAUCUUGAGUUCGGGAGAGGUGAGUGGAACUGCGAGUGUAGAGGUGAAAUUCGUAGAUAUUCGCAAGAACACCAGUGGCGAAGGCGGCUCACUGGCCCGAUACUGACGCUGAGGCACGAAAGCGUGGGGAGCAAACAGGAUUAGA
rnacentral:rRNA from 1 species